AACAGGAUUAGAUACCCUGGUAGUCCACGCCGUAAACGAUGAUAACUAGCUGUCUGGGCACUUGGUGUUCAGGUGGCGCAGCUAACGCAUUAAGUUAUCCGCCUGGGGAGUACGGCCGCAAGGUUAAAACUCAAAUGAAUUGACGGGGGCCUGCACAAGCGGUGGAGCAUGUGGUUUAAUUCGAAGCAACGCGCAGAACCUUACCAGCGUUUGACAUGCCCGGACGGUUUCCAGAGAUGGAUUCCUUCCCUUCGGGGACUGGGACACAGGUGCUGCACGGCUGUCGUCAGCUCGUGUCGUGAGAUGUUGGGUUAAGUCCCGCAACGAGCGCAACCCUCGCCUUUAGUUACCAUCAUUUAGUUGGGGACUCUAAAGGAACCGCCGGUGAUAAGCCGGAGGAAGGUGGGGAUGACGUCAAGUCCUCAUGGCCCUUACGCGCUGGGCUACACACGUGCUACAAUGGCAACUACAGUGGGCAGCAAUCCCGCGAGGGUGAGCUAAUCUCCAAAAGUUGUCUCAGUUCGGAUUGUUCUCUGCAACUCGAGAGCAUGAAGGCGGAAUCGCUAGUAAUCGCGGAUCAGCAUGCCGCGGUGAAUACGUUCCCAGGCCUUGUACACACCGCCCGUCACACCAUGGGAGUUGGAUUCACCCGAAGGCGUUGCGCUAACUCGCAAGAGAGGCAGGCGACCACGGUGGGUUUAGCGACUGGGGUGAAGUUCGUAACAAGGUAACC
rnacentral:rRNA from 1 species